GAUGAACGCUGGCGGCGUGCCUAAUACAUGCAGGUCGAGCGAACGGACGAGAAGCUUGCUUCUCUGAUGUUAGCGGCGGACGGGUGAGUAACACGUGGAUAACCUACCUAUAAGACUGGGAUAACUUCGGGAAACCGUAGCUAAUACCGGAUAAUAUUUUGAACCGCAUGGUUCAAAAGUGAAAGACGGUCUUGCUGUCACUUAUAGAUGGAUCCGCGCUGCAUUAGCUAGUUGGUAAGGUAACGGCUUACCAAGGCAACGAUGCAUAGCCGACCUGAGAGGGUGGUCGGCCACACUGGAACUGAGACACGGUCCAGACUCCUACGGGAGGCAGCAGUAGGGAAUCUUCCGCGAUGGGCGAGAGCCUGACGGAGCAACGCCGCGUGAGUGAUGAAGGUCUUCGGAUCGUAAAACUCUGUUAGUAGGGAAGAACAUAUGUGUAAGUAACUGUGCACAUCUUGACGGUACCUAAUCAGAAAGCCACGGCUAACUACGUG
rnacentral:rRNA from 1 species